ACAACCUUCGAACCGUCGGUCUACCGAGCAAUAUCGCCCGCUCGGUGAAAGAUCUUGCCUGUAUCUC
rnacentral:pre_miRNA from 1 species